CGAUCGCUAGUGUAAGCGCGCACUUGCUAUGAUGCAGCGCAGACAGUGACACACGCAGGCAUGUCACAUCAAAAAUCAGGGCAUCAAAAACGCAAAGAGAGAAAGGAAAGAAGACAGAGAACGUCGAAAUCGACAGUAUGUCACGUAGUUUUUCAAAAAGAAAGACACAGAUUCAGCGGCUGCUGCAGCACACCCACGUCCUCCUUCCCCCAAGUCCCCCGUCUCAGCCGAACAAGAGGAAGAUGAGAGAACAGGAGAAGCCGUGAGAGCAGACUCAGAGGAAGAUGAGAGAACAGGGGAAGCCAUGAGAGCAGACUCAGACUGGGUCUCUCUUAAUCUCUUAAUCAGAGCACAAAUGCACUAUUUUGUAUUCCUUGUGUAUUAUUUGGUCAUGAGCUAAAGAAACCUUGUAUGAGCGCACUAAGCAGUCAACAUGGUUAUAAAAUCAAAGACAUAACAUGGCGUCGAAUGUAUGAUAAAUUCCCUAACCACGAAAGCAGAAAAGCACACAGGGAGUGCUACUUAAAAUGGAAAACCUUACAACAGUCUG
ensembl:lncRNA